rnacentral:rRNA from 1 species
CUACGGGUCGCUGCAGUGAGGAAUUUUGCGCAAUGGGGGAAACCCUGACGCAGCAACGCCGCGUGAGUGGAGAAGGCCCUUGGGUCGUAAGCUCUGUCAAUGGGGAAGAAGUUAUUUGGUAUUAAUAGUGCCUUGUAUUGACGGUACCCAUGAAGGAAGCACCGGCUAAGUCCGUGCCAGCAGCCGCGGUAAUACGGGGGGUGCAAGCGUUAUUCGGAAUUAUUGGGCGUAAAGGGCACGCAGGCGGUCCUGUCAGUCAGAUGUGAAAGCCCGGGGCUCAACCCCGGACGUGCAUUUGAAACAGCAGGACUUGAGUACGGGAGAGGAAAGGGGAAUUCCUGGUGUAGAGGUGAAAUUCGUAGAUAUCAGGAGGAACACCGGUGGCGAAGGCGCCUUUCUGGACCGAUACUGACGCUGAGGUGCGAAGGCGUGGGUAGCGAACGGGAUUAGAUACCCCGGUAGUC